rnacentral:rRNA from 1 species
UACGAAGGGGGCUAGCGUUGCUCGGAAUCACUGGGCGUAAAGCGCACGUAGGCGGAUUCUUAAGUCGGUGGUGAAAUCCUGGAGCUCAACUCCAGAACUGCCUUCGAUACUGGGAAUCUCGAGUCCGGGAGAGGUGAGUGGAACUCCGAGUGUAGAGGUGAAAUUCGUAGAUAUUCGGAAGAACACCAGUGGCGAAGGCGGCUCACUGGCCCGGUACUGACGCUGAGGUGCGAAAGCGUGGGGAGCAAACAGG